rnacentral:lncRNA from 1 species
GUGACUGAAGGGAAAAAAUAUAUAAUAGUGGUUUCUUAGUUGGGAAACUCACUCCAUUGCCCCUUGCCGUCAGCACGUUUAACAACGAGCUGGGGCUCAGGUGCCCGGCCACUGCCACAAGCACCCCUUGCCUGUGCUCCUGACUAGCGCAUGGGCUGGCUGGCCCUGCACAGUCCUGGCCUGAGCGCUGACUGACUCCCAGGAGGGCACACAGACACAGAGAGGGUCUGAGCACUGAUUUGGGGCUGGUGGUGAGGCCAUAUUUUGCUUUGAUGGGAGAAAGGAGGAUGAGAGACAGAGGAGGAGGUGAUUAGUAUUAACUAGCACUUAUUUCUCUGAAUUUGCCUAAGAAUUCUCUUUCCUGCCUUUUAAAGUUUUUGCUUAUUUAAAGGCGUGCUUUAAGAAAAUACAUAAAGGUGGUUUCCUUAAGGGCUAUGUUUCUUAACUUUCCCGCCACAACAGCAACAACUAGAGCCUCAUAAACAGUUCCUGCCACAAAUCUCUCACAGCCUCACAGUGGGGAUGGUUCUGUCGGGCAAGGGAGCACCCACCCUGGACGUGCUGGGGACCAGCAAAGGCUGUCUGCACCUGCCAGCCGCAGCAGGGGCGCCCCAGAGGGUGAAGAGCACGCAGGACACGACCACUCUGCUCCCUCUGGCUCCCUAAGAGGCCUUCUUAUUCAGGCACGCUAUGAACAGACAGUCCAGUUUGGCCUGUUCUAAUGUCUGACGCUUCCAAAGCAAAGACUUUCCAAACCAGUUUUGUAUGAGUUAGAAGAAAAACAAAAGUCAUUUCAGUGUAUCACAUAAUUUCACUCUCUCUCAGGC